UGCCAGCAGCCGCGGUAAUACGGAGGGUUCAAGCGUUGUUCGGAAUUACUGGGCGUAAAGAGCGCGUAGGCGGCAUAGCAAGUCAGAUGUGAAAGCCCUGGGCUUAACCCGGGAUGUGCAUAUGAAACUGCUAAGCUAGAGUACCGGAGAGGUAAGUGGAAUUCCUAGUGUAGAGGUGAAAUUCGUAGAUAUUAGGAGGAACACCAGAGGCGAAGGCGGCUUACUGGCCGGUAACUGACGCUGAGGCGCGAAAGCGUGGGUAGCAAACAGGAUUAGAUA
rnacentral:rRNA from 1 species